AACAACAACAACAACAACCGUUGAGCCAGGUCUCCUUCCAGCAGCCUCAGCAACAAUAUCCAUCAGGCCAGGGCUCCUUCCAGCCAUCUCAGCAAAACCCACAGGCCCAGGGCUCUUUCCAGCCUCAACAACUGCCCCAGUUUGAGGAAAUAAGGAACCUAGCGCUACAGACGCUACUUGCAAUGUGCGAUGUCUAUAUCCCUCCAUAUUGCACCAUUGCUCCAUUUGGCAUCUUUGGUACUAACUGAGAAGAGAAGAACUCUAGUAGUAGAUAUAUGAUACACCGUUUUCUUAGUCCAUGGUUUGGUCGUUGUAGCGGUGAAAAAAUAAAGUGACAUGCACUAUCAUGUAAGAACCCGAACUAUACUAGUUCAAACUUGGGAAUAAAAGACAAACACAGGUCUUGUCUACAUAUGAUUGUUUGUUUGAGUUCCACUCAUGUGCCCAUUCACAAGUUCACCCCUAAUUAUAUAUAUUAUGCAUUAAGUAGAUAUUUAUGUUGCAUUAAUCUAAAGAUAACAAAAUGAGUCUGAAAUUUGAAUUAAAUUGAAGUAUUUCCUUGGACUUUCAAAUGGAGUAUUAUUAAAGUAGUAAGGACUAUCCUCAUCCUUGGCUUGCCCUUGAUCAAUUAUUUCCAGAGAAGCAUUCAAUUCGUCAAUCAAUUACAUUGAUUUUUGCAGCCGGUACUUCUCCUCAACAUGAGUAUAUUCAUCGCGGCUACUCCAAAUCGGCAUGAAUGAGGUACCGGUGCUCUGGAGCACUAGUACCUAACAGCUUCUCAUGUGAAGGGGUGCGGGCACGGGAGAGGUGUUUUUGGUGGGCCAGGGGAGUAAGAAGCGGCCGUGGCAGCGGUGCAGACACCCACAAAGCCCCGUAGUUUGUUUUUCGUUUACAGGAAAAUGCACAUCCAGACCGGCCUGCGGGCCGAUAUAGGACCGUAUUGGAUGGCAAAACAUGUCCGGAUGGUUGCGAGCGGUUUGAGGGUUAGCUUUUGUAACGCCCGGUUAGUUAUGCUAUUGUAAUUCCCUGCUAAUGAUGUCACGUAACCACGAUUACUAUUGUUAACCUCACAAUGAUUCAAUCCCAUUCAAAUUCAAAUUUAAAAUAAAGGCAAACAUCAAAAUUUCCAAACAUUAAAACUUAAAUCUUCGAGAGGUGGAAAAUAAUGCAUAAGUAAUUAUGGUGGAGAAACCACACUUUUAUAAAAUGUUUAAAUACUGUAAAAGAAUAAACAGUGGCUUAAACUAUUAUUUAAAUCCUUUUAAAAUAGUAAAAAUGUUCUAACUAAAUUAAUUGGGUACCAAACUUUUGGUGGCAGUGGUAUAUUUAGUAGAACUAAUUUAGAUGCUAAUUAUAUAAUUUACAAAAUUAAAGUAAAUUGAAAAAUAGGAUAAAACAUAAAAGGAAAGACAAAAUAAAUAAAAGCAAAAGGGGGCAACCCCUCGCUGGGCCUCGGCCUAACUGGCCACUGGGCUAGCUAGGCCGGCCCAGCCGCCUCCCUUAACCCCCCACUCCCCAUCGAACCCUGGCCCGAUCGCCCCACUUCCCCCACACCCCGUCGUCAGCCUCCCCACCUGUCGAUCCCAUCUGGAUCGGGGAGGGGAUCGCCCCCAUCAACCCCGUCGCCGUCUCCGGAUCGCCCGCUCGCCCAUCGCCCGCCGGAGUCGCCGGGCCUCCUCCCUGCCGCCCGUCUCCGGCUCGCCUCCUCUCUCGCUCCUCUUCCCUGACCCAAUCUGGAUCGGGAAGGGGCAAUGCGCCCGACGCCCCCCUUCACCGACGCCGUGCGCCAACACCGCCGCCCGAAGACCUCGCCGUCACCGGACCUCGCGUCGCCUCCUCGUAUCCCUCCCCGCCUCGCCUCAAGCCAUGACGACCCCCUUCUCGGCAACGCUGUGAGCCGCCCCCGUUUCCCUCCUCCUCUUUCCACCGCGUUCACAGCGUCGCCCGCCGUGCCCCUCGCCGCGCGCUCGCCCACCACCGCGCCAGCCCCGGUCCGCGCCCUCUCCUGCAUGCUUGCGUGCGCAUGACCCUAGCCGCGCCUGCGCCGUGAUCCCCUUAUCCNNNNNNNNNNNNNNNNNNNNNNNNNNNNNNNNNNNNNNNNNNNNNNNNNNNNNNNNNNNNNNNNNNNNNNNNNNNNNNNNNNNNNNNNNNNNNNNNNNNNNNNNNNNNNNNNNNNNNNNNNNNNNNNNNNNNNNNNNNNNNNNNNNNNNNNNNNNNNNNNNNNNNNNNNNNNNNNNNNNNNNNNNNNNNNNNNNNNNNNNNNNNNNNNNNNNNNNNNNNNNNNNNNNNNNNNNNNNNNNNNNNNNNNNNNNNNNNNNNNNNNNNNNNNNNNNNNNNNNNNNNNNNNNNNNNNNNNNNNNNNNNNNNNNNNNNNNNNNNNNNNNNNNNNNNNNNNNNNNNNNNNNNNNNNNNNNNNNNNNNNNNNNNNNNNNNNNNNNNNNNNNNNNNNNNNNNNNNNNNNNNNNNNNNNNNNNNNNNNNNNNNNNNNNNNNNNNNNNNNNNNNNNNNNNNNNNACCAAGACCCACAUCCCCUAAUUAACCAUUUAAUAAAUUUAAACUCUUAAAUUAACAUUAGUGUAUGACAUGUGGGUCCCCUAUUAAUUAAACUAAUUUAAUUAAAAUCUAUUAACUUCAAGUCUAUGACAUAUGGGCCCCACUGAACAUUUGACCAGUCAACGGUCCAGUCAAAUGUUGACCGGAUAGUUGACCAGAGGGCCCCACCAGUCAGCCUCUGUGCUGUUCUCCUGGGUACCUUUCUGAGUACACCUAGCAUUUUGCAUUUACAAUAUUUGUUUUAAAAUAAAUUAGAAUAAUUUCAAAAAAAUGAUUGAAACUUUUAAAAUUAAAAAAAAUUAUCCGUAACUCGGAUGAAAUUACUUUAUACAUGGAAGUUGCUCAAAAAAUGAGACGAAUCCUAAUACACAGUCCGUUCUUCUGCCACACGUCCCUAGCAUAGCGAACAUGCAACCACCCCCCUCCGGUUCGACUGUCCGAAAAUGUCAAACACCGGGAAUACUUUUCCGGAUGUUUCCCCUUCACUAGUAGCACCUAGUACCGCGUGAGGCAUACCUAGCACCACUUAUUGUAAUGUCAUGCAUCGUCAUGCAUCUGUUUGCAUUGUAUUCAUUGUUUCUUGCUCCUCUUCUCUCCGGUAGACUACGAGACUGACGCCGGUGCUGCCCCGGUCGAUUACGGUGUCCAUGACCCCUCCUUGUCAGCAGAGCUUCCAGGCAAGCAAACCCCCUUGAUCAUCCCGAUAUCGCCUACUCUUUCCUCUACUGCUUGCAUUAGAGUAUUGUUACUGUUUGUCGGUUUGAUCCUAUACUGCUGCAUGGCCUGUCUUUGAUACUACUUAUGUGUUAUUUGUUAGUACGCUUGGAGAAAAUGCCUUUGAUUAGGGCAUCUUCAACAGCGACCAGUAAAUUUCCUCCCGCGUUCGUCCACGAAUAGGGGAUCAGUCCGCGGACACGGAUACAGGAAUUGGCCAUCCAACAAUGUCCGCAUAUAUUUAAAACACUUAAAAAAUAGGAUGAAAUUCAUGCAAACACAGUGGAUUUCAUACAAACCGGACAAAAAUGUUUACAUUUUGGACAUUUUUUUUUUACUAAAAACUCUACAGCCGGUGCCGGCGAAUAUCCACUCCGGCAACAUGGAUACCCUUGACUAGUCUACUGCCGGCCGCAGCAGAUCUCCAAUGUCGUCCCCAUGUUCGGCAGCUGUGAGCCCUAGAGGUAUAUGCUUCAGCGCAAAGAGCGGCUCGCCUCCUACCGCUCAUCGGAGUGGAACAACCAGUUGAUGCUUCUGCCGAUGGGGAAGGGUCCCUACGCUACACGAAUUAGAGUUGGUUUUGGGUUGGGGGAACGGCGGUGGCCUGUCAGAGGGCAAGACACCGACUGUGUACGCUGGUGUCACCUGGUGUGGCAUUCAUGGGACCCAAGCGGCAGCGCCUCCUCAAUGAUGGCAGCGAGCGCGGACGUGUUGGACACCACCUCGUCGAUGUCCGUGCAGCCCGCUUCUUUCUCUGUAGGAAGGACGCGGUUACGCUCGCGUUGACAUCGGAUGACUCGGUCACAUGCACGAGAGGGGCGGUACAACAUGGCACCGUCAAUGGCAGCCAUGAUGCCCGCGCCACCGUGGUCCCUCCCAGUGCCGACCUGGAGCAACUUGCCACUCCUCGGCUCGUGACCGGCGGGCUUUACGGGCCACCUAGCCAUUUUUUAUGCCAGCCAACUCUUCUUCCUGCUCGUCAGAUGUCAUGGAGAAAACUGUUCAAGGAGGAAAAUGAUGAGUGGACGUGUGAUGCGCUUCUUGCCCAACAUCUGACAUUGUUUAAAUAGCGAGGGGACACGAGAGGAGCCAACCGGCGUUCUGUUCAAUGCCAACUGGCUCGCGAACGAACAUGUGGCCGGAGUAAUUAUCCUGGCACACACGCGGGUUUAAUGGUGGAAGGCGGGCAGUCUGCAGGAAUGAGGUGAGGAUGCGUGUUUAGCCGGCGUGCAGCGGGCAGCGCCCUCGGCCGGCGUGCUGCUUCCAUUGCGGAGGUAGUGAGAGGUCGCGUCCGCUCUGCAGCGCAUGAAUGCGGGCAGCUGGCGCAGAGCGGGAACGCGUGCAUGGUUUGGGUGGGCACGGGUGGUGAGAAGAGGUCAUGGGUGUUGUCCGAACGCCUGGAAAGCCCCCCCUCCAUGUUUGUCUCCGGUUUACGGGAGAAAGUACGUCCGGACCGUUUGAUGGACCAAUACAGGCCCGCAUUGGAUGGCACAACACGUCCGGACCAUGUGGUCCGGAUGGUUGUGGACGGUUUAAUUGAGGGUCGACGUUGGAGAUGCCUUAGAGUUUAUGAAUCCAUUGUGUUUUUUAAUCAUAAAAAGCACUUAUAACAAGUUAUAAGGAAAGACACGUUUAUAUGUUAGGUUCGGACUCCAGCUUUCCUCUUACAUAUGCUUUAUUGUGAUCCGACUGAUUCCAAUAGAGUGAGCCUAGCGUUGUUUUUCUGGAAACUUGCGGGAUAAGGAGACAUGCAUACACAUUCAUUCAAGCAAAUCACAUCCAUUCUUUUUAACUCAUUUUUCUUCUUUUAAUAAUAUAAUAGAUCAUUUAUAUUUUUAUCUCAAACAGUUGACGUGUAAUUUAUACUGUAAUCUGAGGAUAAUGUUUGGAUUUACUUUCAAAUAUAUUUGAAAUGGCCAUGAUGGAAUCACAUCCAUUUAUUUUAUUAUUAUUUGAAUUUGAUCCAAAAGAUAAAUAAUGAGUAGAGGUCAUGUCAACUUUUCUGAGAACUUUGCUAAUCAAAAUAUAAUUUGUAUUUAAAAACAUCUUUUUAGCACGCAUGAAAAACAUAACGCCUAUCUUUUCACACAUGAUGAACGGUUGUCAUAAGAACUCAUGGCAUGCCACAAGCUCCCUCCGACCCUGCCAACAUUGUUACAGCUGCACUCGCAAGCUUUAUCGUAGAUGAUCAUUUAUACGAUUUGCGUAAAUCAAAAUAAGAUCUACAAACGAAUAGAAGCUAGAACGUACCUUGGCAUGCACACACAUUGCAAGCCAUACUAAGCUGAUAAGUGUUAAUAACUUCUACAACAUAUACAACACUUAAGACAAGUAAAAGCAAUUUGAUGAGUCAUGGUCUAUCAAAGGCACAUUACUAGUCUAAUCCAUCUUAACAGGUCACACAUGAUUAAAACCUUGUUUGUGUGCAAGUCAAGCUUAUCUAGUUUACAUGUAACAACUUGUAGAACAUUACAAAAUUUAUGUUUGCUAAUAACCUCUAGAACACUACAACACUUGACAUGUAAAAGGAAUUUGAUGAGUCAUGGCCUACUAAAGCAAGUUAUAUUACUAGUCUUAUCUACCUUAACAGGCCACACAAGAUUACAAACUAAGUUCUGUGCUAGCCAUGCUUAUCUAGUUUAUGCGUAACAAUUUGCAGAAAAUUACAAACUUAGUUUCAGAAAAAUAGGCAAUCUAGAUUAGUGUUUGAGCUGUAAAGUGAAUAAGAUGAGUCAUGUGUGUUAUCACACCUUUUUGGUUGUGGAAUAAUAGUGCAACAACAAGGAACUUUAAUGACCAGUCCAAGAAUACACUUGUAAGUAGUGCCACCGAACACAACAUGCCAAAUUUUGAUUUUGAGAAGCAUCCAAACACUUCCACACAAGCAAAUGCCAAUUGUGAAAGAGAUCAUGCCAUGGCAGCUAUAAAUAGGCCCGUAGCAUGACGAUCAUCCUUCCUCAUCCAUCAUUCUCAUAAGUAGAGCGCAUCAUUUAAGCCAAGCAAGCAGUGCUCAAUACAAAUCCACCAUGAAGACCUUUCUCAUCCUUGCCCUCCUUGCUAUUGUGGCGACCACCGCCACAACUGCAGUUAGAGUUCCAGUGCCACAAUUGCAGCUACAAAAUCCAUCUCAGCAACAGCCACAAGAGCAAGUUCCAUUGGUACAAGAACAACAAUUUCCAGGGCAGCAACAACCAUUUCCACCACAACAGCCAUAUCCGCAGCCGCAACCAUUUCCAUCACAACAACCAUAUCUGCAGCUGCAACCAUUUCCACAGCCGCAACUACCAUAUCCGCAGCCGCAACCAUUUCGACCACAACAACCAUAUCCACAGCCGCAACCACAGUAUUCGCAACCACAACAACCAAUUUCGCAGCAGCAGCAGCAGCAGCAGCAACAACAACAACAACAACAACAAAUCCUACAACAAAUUUUGCAACAACAACUGAUUCCAUGCAGGGAUGUUGUAUUGCAACAACACAACAUAGCGCAUGGAAGCUCACAAGUUUUGCAAGAAAGUACUUACCAGCUGGUGCAACAAUUGUGUUGUCAGCAGCUGUGGCAGAUCCCCGAGCAGUCGCGGUGCCAAGCCAUCCACAAUGUUGUUCAUGCUAUUAUUCUGCAUCAACAACACCACCACCACCAACAACAACAACAACAACAACAACAACAACCGUUGAGCCAAGUCUCCUUCCAACAGCCUCAGCAACAAUAUCCAUCAGGCCAGGGCUUCUUCCAACCAUCUCAGCAAAACCCACAGGCCCAGGGCUCUUUCCAGCCUCAACAACUGCCCCAGUUUGAGGCAAUAAGGAACCUAGCGCUACAGACGCUACCUGCAAUGUGCAAUGUGUAUAUCCCUCCAUAUUGCACCAUUGCUCCAUUUGGCAUCUUCGGUACUAACUGAGAAGAGAAGAACUCUAGUAGUAGAUAUAUGAUACACCGUUUUCUUAGUCCAUGGUUUGGUCGUUGUAGCGGUGAAAAAAUAAAGUGACAUGCACUAUCAUGUAAGAACCUGAACUAUACUAGUUCAAACUUGGGAAUAAAAGACAAACACAGGUCUUGUCUACAUAUGAUUGUUUGUUUGAGUUCCACUCAUGUGCCCAUUCACAAGUUCACCCCUAAUUAUAUAUAUUAUGCAUUAAGUAGAUAUUUAUGUUGCAUUAAUCUAAAGAUAACAAAAUGAGUCUGAAAUUUGAAUUAAAUUGAAGUAUUUCCUUGGACUUUCAAAUGGAGUAUUAUUAAAGUAGUAAGGACUAUCCACAUCCUUGGCUUGCCCUUGAUCAAUUAUUUGCUGAGAAGCAUUCAAUUCGUCAAUCAAUUACAUUGAUUUUUGUGGCUGGUACUUCUCCUCAACAUGAGUAUAUUCAUCGUGGCUACUCCAAAUCGGCAUGAAUGAGGUACCGGUGCUCUGGAGCACUAGUACCUAACAGCUUCUCAUGUGAAGGGGUGCGGGCACGGGAGAGGUGUUUUUGGUGGGUCAAGGGAGUAAGAAGCGGCCGUGGCAGCGGUCCAGACGCCCACAAAGCCUCGUAGUUUGUUUUUGGUUUACAGGAAAAUGCACAUCCAGACUGGCCUGCGGGCCGAUAUAGGACCGUAUUGGAUGGCAAAACAUGUCCAGAUGGUUGUGAGCGGUUUGAGGGUUAGCUUUUGUAACGCCCGGUUAGUUAUGCUAUGGUAGUUCCCUGCUAAUGAUGUCACGUCACCACGAUUACUGUUGUUAACCUCACAAUGAUUCAAUCCCAUUCAAAUCCAAAUUUAAAAUAAAGGCAAACAUCAAAAGUUUCAAACAUUAAAACUAAAAUCUUCGAGAGGUGAAAAAUAAUGCAUAAGUAAUUAUGGUGGAGAAACCACACUUUUAUAAAAUGUUUAAAUACUCUAAAAGGAAUAAAACAGUGGCUUAAACUAUUAUUUAAAUGCUUUUAAAAUAGUAAAAAUGUUCUAACUAAAUUAAUUGGGUACCAAACUUUUGGUGGCAGUGGUAUAUUUAGUAGAAAAAAUUUAGAUGCUAAUUAUAUAAUUUACAAAAUUAAAGUAAAUUAAAAAAUAGGAUAAAACAUAAAAGGAAAGACAAAACAAAUAAAAGCAAAAGGGGGCAACCCCUCACUGAGCCUCGGCCUAGCUGGCCACUAGGCUAGCUAGGCCGGCCCAGCCGCCUCCCUUAACCCCCCACUCCCCAUCGAACAAUAGCCCGAUCGCCCCACUUCCCCCACACCCCCUCGUCAGCCUCCCCACCUCUCGAUCCCAUCUGGAUCGGGGAGGGGAUCGCCCCCAUCGACCCCGUCGCCAUCGCCGGAUCACCCGCUCGCCCAUCGCCCGCCGGCGUCGCCGGGCCUCCUCCCCGCCGCCCGUCUCCGGCUCUCCUCCCCUCUCGCUCCUCUUCCCCGACCCGAUAUGGAUCGAGAAGGGGCAAUGAGCCCGACGCCCCCCUCCACCGACGUUGUGCGCCAGCACCGCCACCCGAAGACCUCGUCGUCGCCGGACCUCGCGUCGCCUCCUCGUAUCUCUCCCCGACUCGCCUCCUCAAGCCACGCCGACCCCCUUCUCGGCAACGCUGUGAGCCGCCCCCGUUUCCCUCCUUCUCUUUCCACCGUGUUUGAUAAGUCUCCAACGUAUCUAUAAUUUUUGAUUGUUCCAUGCUAUAUUAUAUUCUGUUUUGGAUGAUUAAUGGGAUUUAUUAUACACUUUUAUAUUAUUUUUGGGACUAACCUAUUAACCGGAGGCCCAGCCCAAAUUGCUGUUUUUUUGCCUAUUUCAGUGUUUCGCAGAAAAAGAAUAUCAAACGGAGUCCAAACGGAAUGAAACCUUCGGGAAUGUGAUUUUCGGAACAAACGUGAUCCAGAGGACUUGGAGUGGACGUCAAGCAACAGACGAGGAAGCCACGAGGUAGGGGCGCGCCUACCCUCCUGGGCGCGCCCUCCACCCUCAUGGGCCCCUCGUGGCUCCACUGACCUACUUCUUCCUCCUAUAUAUACCUACGUACCCCCAAACCAUCAGAAGCGACCACAAAAACCUAAUUCCACCGCCGCAACCUUCUGUACCCGUGAGAUCCCAUCUUAGGGCCUUUUCCGGCGUCCUGCCGGAGGGGGCAUUGAUCACGGAGGGCUUCUACAUCAACACCAUAGCCUCUCCGAUGAUGUGUGAGUAGUUUACCUCAGACCUUCGGGUCCAUAGUUAUUAGCUAGAUGGCUUCUUCUCUCUCUUUGGAUCUCAAUACAAAGUUCUCCUCGUUUCUCUUGGAGAUCUAUUUGAUGUAACUCUUCUUUUUGCGGUGUGUUUGUCGAGAUCCGAUGAAUUGUGGGUUUAUGAUCAAGAUUAUCUAUGAACAAUAUUUGAAUCUCCUCUGAAUUCUUUUAUGUAUGAUUGGUUAUCUUUGCAAGUCUCUUCGAAUUAUCAGUUUGGUUUGGCCUACUAGAUUGAUCUUUCUUGCAAUGGGAGAAGUGCUUAGCUUUGGGUUCAAUCCUGCGGUGUCCUUUCCCAGUGACAGCAGGGGCAGCAAGGCACGUAUUGUAUUGUUGCCAUCGAGGAUAAAAAGAUGGGGUUUAUAUCAUGUUGCAUGAGUUUAUCCCUCUACAUCAUGUCAUCUUGCUUAAAGCGUUACUCUGUUUUUAUGAACUUAAUACUCUAGAUGCAUGCUGGAUAGCGGUCGAUGUGUGGAGUAAUAGUAGUAGAUGCAGAAUCGUUUUGGUCUACUUGUCACGGACGUGAUGCCUAUAUACAUGAUCAUACCUAGAUAUUCUCAUAACUAUGCUCAAUUCUAUCAAUUGCUCGACAGUAAUUCGUUUACCCACCAUAAUACUUAUGCUCUUGAGAGAAGCCACUAGUGAAACCUAUGGCCCCCGGGUCUAUUUUCCAUCAUAUUAAUCUUCCGUCAACAAGCUAUUUCUAUCUUUAUUUACCUUGUAAUCUUUACUUUUACUCUUUAUCAUAAAAAUACCAAAAAUAUUAUCUUAUCAUCUCUAUCAGAUCUCACUCUCGUAAGUGACCGUGAAGGGAUUGACAACCCCUUUAUCGCGUUGGUUGCGAGGUUCUUAUUUGUUUGUGUAGGUGCGUGGGACUUGAGUGUGGCCUCCUACUGGAUUGAUACCUUGGUUCUCAAAAACUGAGGAAAAUACUUACGCUACUUUACUGCAUCACCCUUUCCUCUUCAAGGGAAAACCAACGCAGUGCUCAAGAGGUAGCAAGAAGGAUUUCUAGCACCGUUGCCGGGGAGUCUACGCACAAGUCAAGACAUACCAAGUACCCGUCACAAACUCUUAUCCCUCGCAUUACAUUAUUUGCCAUUUGCCUCUCGUUUUCCUCUCCCCCACUUCACCCUUGCCGUUUUAUUCGCCUCCUUUUCGUUUGCUUCUUGUUUGCUCGUGUGUUGGAUUGCUUGUUUGUCGCGAUGGCUCUACCUAGAUUUGGUGAUCUUCCAUUAAAAGGUUAGAAGAGAUUGAAAGCAACGUCAGAAGUUUCAUGACUUUACAAUUUGAGCAUAACAAUUUCUUUAGAAACGAGCUUAAGGAACAAAAAAGCUUUAUGGGUUACAUGAAUAAAGAGCUCGACGAUAUGUCUAAGGAAUUUUAUGGUCUAAAAUCUUAGAUUUCUCAUCUCGAAAAAUUAAUUGCUGAAAUUUCGGAUAAGCAGGCCACCUUAGUUAAUAAGAUGGCCGCUAAACCGGUAAUUUUUUAUGAGAAUAAAGAUGAAGAUCUAAAAGUUAUUGAUGUGUCCCCUAUUAAAUCUUAGUUUUGCAAUAUGAAUCUUGAUAAUGAUGGGACUGGAGAUGAGUCAACUUUAGUUAAAAGGCGUCCCAAAAAUUCGGAGUUUUUAGAUCUUGAUGCAAAAUUUGGUAAAAGUGGGAUUGAAGAGGUCAAAACUUUAGAUAUCAAUGAACCCACUAUCUUGGAUUUCAAGGAAUUUAAUUAUGAUAAUUGCUCUUUGAUAUAUUUUAUUUCCUUGUUGCAAUCCGUGUUAAAUUCUCCUCAUGCUUAUAGUCAAAAUAAAGCUUUUACUAAACAUAUCGUUGUUGCUUUGAUGCAAUCUUAUGAAGAAAAACUUGAGUUGGAAGUUUCUAUCCCUAGAAAACUUUAUGAUGAAUGGGAACCUACAAUUAAAAUUAAAAUUAAAGAUCAUGAAUGCUAUGCUUUGUGUGAUUUGGGUGCUAGUGUUUCCACGAUCCCAAAAACUUUGUGUGAUUUGCUAGGUUUCCGUGAAUUUGAUGAUUGUUCUCUAAAUUUGCAUCUUGCGGAUUCCACCAUCAAGAAACCUAUGGGAAGAAUUAAUGAUGUUAUUAUUGUUUCAAAUAGGAACUAUGUGCCCGUAGAUUUUAUUGUUCUUGAUAUAGAUUACAAUCCUUCAUGUCCUAUUAUUUUUGGUAGACCUUUCCUUAGAACGAUUGGUGCAAUUAUUGAUAUGAAAGAAGGAAAUAUUAGAUUCCAAUUUCCGUUAAGGAAAGGUAUGGAACACUUUCCUAGAAAGAAAAUAAAAUUACCUUAUGAAUCUAUUAUGAGAGCUACUUAUGGAUUGCCUACCAAAGAUGGCAAUACCUAGAUCUAUCCUCGCUUUUAUGCCUAGCUAGGGGCGUUAAAUGGUAGCGCUUGUUGGGAGGCAACCCAAAUUUUAUUUUAGUUUUUUUGCUUUUUUGCUUCUGUUUAGGAAUAAAUCUUUGAUCUAGACUCUGGUUAGACUUGUUUUUAUGUUUUAAUUAGUGUUUGUGCCAAGUUAAACCUAUAGGAUCUUCUUGGAUGAUAGUUAUUUGAUCUUGCUGAAAAUUCCAGAAACUUUCUGUUCACGAAAACAAUUGUUAAAAAUCACCAGAACGUGAUAAAAUACUGAUUCUAAUUGCAGUAGAUCAAUAAACAAAUUAUCUAGGUCUUCCUAUUUUGGUAGAUUUUUCUGAGUUACAUAAGUUUGUGUUAGUUACAGAUUACUACAGACUGUUCUGUUUUUGACAGAUUCUGUUCUUCGUGUGUUGUUUGCUUAUUUUGAUGAAUCUAUGGCUAGUAAAAUAGUUUAUAAACCAUAGAUAAGUUGGAAUACAUUAGGUUUAACACCAAUAUAAAUAAAGAAUGAGUUCAAUACAGUACCUUGAAGUGGUGUUUUGUUUUCUUUCGCUAACGGAGCUCACGAGAUUUUCUGUUAAGUUUUGUGUUGUGAAGUUUUCAAGUUUUGGGUAAAGAUUUGAUGGAUUAUGGAACAAGGAGUGGCAAGAGCCUAAGCUUGGGGACGCCCAAGGCACCCCAAGGUAAAUCUAAGGACACCAAAAAUCCAAAGCUUGGGGAUGCCCCGGAAGGUAUCCACUCUUUCGUCUUCGUCCAUCGGUAACUUUACUUGGAGCUAUAUUUUUAUUCACCACAUGAUAAGUGUUUUGCUUGGAGCGUCUUGUAUGAUUUGAGUAUUUGCUUUUUAGUUUACCACAUUCAUACUUGCUGUACACACCUUUUGAGAGAGACACACAUGAUUCAGAAUUUAUUAGAAUACUCUAUGUGCUUCACUUAUAUCUUUUGAGCUAUAUAGUUUUUGCUCUAGUGCUUCACUUAUAUCUUUUAGAGCACGGUGGUGGUUUUGUUUUAUAGAAACUAUUUUUCUCUCAUGCUUCACUUAUAUCAUUUUGAGAGUCCUACAUAACAGCAUGGUAAUUUGCUUAAAUUGAGAAAUUAGUCCUAAUAUGAUAGGCAUCCAAGAUUAGUAAAAACUUUCUUAUAAGUGCGUUGAAUACUAAGAAAAGUUUGAUGCUUGAUGAUUGUUUUGAGAUAUGGAGGUAGUGAUAUUAAAGUUGUGCUAGUUGAGUAGUUUUGAAUUUGAGAAAUACUUGCGUUGAAGUUUGCAAGUCCCGUAGCAUGCACGUAUGGUAAACGUUGUGUAACAAAUUUGAAACAUGAGGUGUUCUUUGAUUGUCCUCCUUAUGAGUGGCGGUCGGGGACGAGUGAUGGUCUUUUCCUACCAAUCUAUCCCCCUAGGAGCAUGCGCGUAGUGCUUGGUUUUUGAUGACUUGUAGAUUUUUGCAAUAAGUAUGUGAGUUCUUUAUGACUAAUGUUGAGUCCAUGGAUUAUACGCACUCUCACCCUUCCAUCAUUGCUAGCAUCUUCGGUACCGUGCAUUGCCCUUUCUCACCUUGAGAGUUGGUGCAAAUUUCGCCGGUGCAUCCAGACCCCGUGAUACGAUACGCUCUGUCACACAUAAACCUCCUUAUAUCUUCCUCAAAACAGCCACCAUACCUACCUGUUAUGGCAUUUCCAUAGCCAUUCCGAGAUAUAUUGUCAUGCAACUUUCCACCGUUCCGUUUAUCAUGACACGUUUCAACAUUGUCAUAUUGCCUUGCAUGAUCAUGUAGUUGACAUCGUAUUUGUGGCAAAGCCACCGUUCAUAAUUUUUCAUACAUGUCACUCUUGAUUCAUUGCCCAUCCCGGUACACCGCCGGAGGCAUUCAUAUAGAGUCAUACUUUGUUCUAGUAUCGAGUUGUAAUCAUUGAGUUAUAAAUAAAUAGAAGUGUGAUGAUCAUCAUUCAUAGAGCAUUGUCCCAAAAAAAGGAGAAAGGCCAAAUGAAAAAAAGGCCCAAAAAAAGGGGCAAUGUUACUAUCCUUUUUCCAUACUUGUGCUUCAAAGUAGCACCAUGGUCUUUAUGAUAGAGAGUCUCUUGUUUUGUCACUUUCAUAUACUAGUGGGAAUUUUUCAUUAUAGAACUUGGCUUGUAUAUUCCCACAAUGGGCUUCCUCAAAUGCCCUAGGUCUUCGUGAGCAAGCAAGUUGGAUGCACACCCACUUAGUUUCUUUUGUUGAGCUUUCAUGCAUUUAUAGCUCUAGUGCAUCCGUUGCAUGGCAAUCCCUACUCCUUGCAUUGACAUCAAUCGAUGGGCAUCUCCCUAGCUCGUUGAUUAGCCGCGUCAAUGUGAGACUUUCUUUUCUUUUUUUCUUCUCCACAUAACCCCCAUCAUCAUAUUAUAUUCCACCCAUAGUGUUAUAUCCAUGGCUCACGCUCAUAUAUUGCGUGAAAGUUGAAUUUUUUUUGAGAUUACUAAAGUAUGAAACAAUUGCUUGGCUUGUAAUCGGGGUUGUGCAUGAUGAGAGCAUUCUUGUGUGACGAAAAUGGGGCAUGACCAAACUAUAUGAUUUUGUAGGGAUGAACUUUCUUUGGCCAUGUUAUUUUGAGAAGACAUAAUUGCUUAGUUAGUAUGCUUGAAGUAUUAUUACUUUUAUGUCAAUAUUAAACUUUUAUCUUGAAUCUUUCGGAUCUGAAUAUUCAUACCACAAAUAAGAGAAUUACAUUGAAAAUUAUGCUAAGUAGCAUUCCACAUCAAAAAUUCUGUUUUUAUCAUUUACCUACUCGAGGACGAGCAGGAAUUAAGCUUGGGGAUGCUUGAUACGUCUCCAACGUAUCUAUAAUUUUUGAUUGUUCCAUGCUAUAUUAUAUUCUGUUUUGGAUGAUUAAUGGGCUUUAUUAUACACUUUUAUUAUUUUUGGGACUAACCUAUUAACCGGAGGCCCAGCCCAAAUUGUUGUAUUUUUUGCCUAUUUUAGUGUUUCGCAGAAAAAGAAAAUCAAACGGAGUCCAAACGGAAUGAAACCUUCGGGAACGUGAUUUUCGGAACAAAUGUGAUCCAGAGGACUUGGAGUGGACGUCAAGGAACAGACGAGGAAGCCAUGAGGUAGGGGGGCGCGCCUACCCCCUGGGCGCGCCCUCCACCCUCGUGGCUCCACCGACCUACUUCUUCCUCCUAUAUAUACCUACGUACCCCCAAACCAUCAGAAGCGACCAUGAAAACCUAAUUCCACCACCGCAACCUUCUAUACCCCUGAGAUCCCAUCUUGGGGCCUUUUCCGGCGUCCUGCCGGAGGGGGCAUUGAUCACGGAGGGCUUCUACAUCAACACCAUAGCCUCUCCGAUGAUGUGUGAGUAGUUUACCUCAGACCUUCGGGUCCAUAGUUAUUAGCUAGAUGGCUUCUUCUCUCUCUUUGGGUCUCAAUACAAAGUUCUCCUCGUUUCUCUUGGAGAUCUAUUUGAUGUAACUCUUCUUUUUGCGGUGUGUUUGUCGAGAUCCGAUGAAUUGUGGGUUUAUGAUCAAGAUUAUCUAUGAACAAUAUGUGAAUCUCCUAUGAAUUCUUUUAUGUAUGAUUGGUUAUCUUUGCAAGUCUCUUCGAAUUAUCAGUUUGGUUUGGCCUACUAGAUUGAUAUUUCUUGCAAUGGGAAAAGUGCUUAGCUUUGGGUUCAAUCUUGCGGUGUCCUUUCCCAGUGACAGCAGGGGCAGCACGGCACAUAUUGUAUUGUUGCCAUCGAGGGUAAAAAGAUGGGGUUUAUAUCAUAUUGCAUUAGUUUAUCCCUCUACAUCAUGUCAUCUUGCUUAAAGCGUUACUCUGUUCUUACGAACUUAAUGCUCUAGAUGCAUGCUGGAUAGCGGUCGAUGUGUGGAGUAAUAGUAGUAGAUGCAGAAUCGUUUCGGUCUACUUGUCACGGACGUGAUGCCUAUAUACAUGAUCAUACCUAGAUAUUCUCAUAACUAUACUCAAUUCUAUCAAUUGCUCGACAGUAAUUCGUUUACCCACCGUAAUACUUAUGCUCUUGAGAGAAGCCACUAUUGAAACCUAUGGCCCCCGGGUCUAUUUUCCAUCAUAUUAAUCUUCCGUCAACAAGCUAUUUCUAUCUUUAUUUACCUUGCAAUCUUUACUUUUACUCUUUAUCAUAAAAAUACCAAAAAAAAUUAUCUUAUCAUCUCUAUCAGAUCUCACUCUCGUAAGUGACCGUGAAGGGAUUGACAACCCCUUUAUCGCGUUGGUUGCGAGGUUCUUAUAUAUUUGUGUAGGUGCGUGGGACUUGAGUGUGGCCUCCUACUGGAUUGAUACCUUGGUUCUCAAAAACUGAGGGAAAUAAUUACACUACUUUACUGCAUCACCCUUUCCUCUUUAAGGGAAAACCAACGCAGUGCUCAAGAGGUAGCAGUGUUCACCGCGCCGCCCGCCGUGCCCCUCGCCGCGCGCACGCCCACCACCGCGCCAGCCCCCGCUCAGCGCCCUCUCCUGCACGCUUGUGCGCGCAUGACCCUAGCCACGCCCGCGCCGUGAUCCCCUUGUUCGGCCCGCCUUCGUCCCGCGCUCGCCGCGGCCCCCAUGCUCCCCCGUGCCAUCUUCUAGGGGCGUCGGCUGCCCCUGUCCCGCUGCUCGCUGCCACGCCUCGCCCGCCCGCGCCUCGCCACCGCUCUACUGCUACGCUAAUAUUGCGCUGUGGCCGCCGCCGCUUCCCGCUGCUCUGCCAGCGCCGAAGCUCCCGGUUGGCUCCGCCGCUGCUCACGUUUUACCGCCCCUAAACGGCCUACCCCCCCCCUCGCUAAUGAACCCCCACUGACCCGCUGACACCGGGACCCACAUCCCCUAAUUAACCAUUUAAUAAAUUAAAAAUCUUAAAUUAACAUUAGUGUAUGACAUGUGGGUCCCCUAUUAAUUAAACUGAUUUAAUUAAAAUCUAUUAACAUUGAGUCUGUGACAUAUGGGCCCCACUAAACAUUUGACCAGUCAACGGUCUAGUCAAAUGCUGACCGGACAGUUGACCAGAGGGCCCCACCAGUCAGCCUCUGUGCUGUUCUGCUGGGUACCUUUCUAAGUACACCUAGCAUUUUGCAUUUACAAUAUUUGUUUUAAAAUAAAUUAGAAUAAUUUCAAAAAAAGAUUAAAACUUUUAAAAUUAAAAUAAAAUAAUCCGUAACUCGGAUGAAAUUACUUUAUACAUGCAAGUUGCUCAAAAAACGAGACGAAUCCGAAUACACAGUCCGUUCGUCUGCCACACGUCCCUAGCAUAGCAAACAUGCAACCAUCCCCCUCCGGUUCGACUGUCCGAAAAUGUCAGACACGGGAAAUACUUUUCCGGAUUUUCCCCUUCACCAUUAGCACCUAGUACCGCGUGAGGGCAUACCUAGCACCACUUAUUGUAAUGUCAUGCAUCGUCAUGCAUCUGUUUGCAUUGUAUUCAUUGUUUCUUCCUCCUCUUCUCUCCGGUAGACUACGAGACCGACGUCGGUGCUGCCCCGGUCGACUACGGUGUCCAUGACCCCUCCUUGUAAGCAGAGCUUCCAGGCAAGCAAACCCCCUUGAUCAUCCCGAUAUCGCCUACUCUUUCCCUCUACUGCUUGCAUUAGAGUAUUGUUACUGUUUGUCGGUUUGAUCCUAUACUGCUGCAUGGCUUGUCUUUGAUACUACUUAUGUGUUAUUUGUGUAGAUUUGUCAAGGAAAAAUGAGUCUAUAGCCUAAUAAAUGAAGUGUUGCAUGUUACCACACAUAUGUUAAUCCCCACUAUAGAGUUAGUAACAUAGACUAGUAACAUGUGCAUGUUACUACCCAUUGUGGCCAGUCUAUGUUACCACUUUCCUCUCUUUCUUCAUUUAUUGCUUGCCACAUCAUCUAUUUUAUCUAGGUAUGUGUGAUAUUACUACCUAUGUUACUCCCACUGUGGGUAGUCUAAGCAGGCUAUAAGGAAUAGAAUAAUAUAUAUGUGCUUAUUAGUUGGAGGAAAGAGAAGAGAAGCGGGCUCUUGGUUAGUAGAGCCAGCUACAACAUGAGACCCAAGCACUUUGUGAGGAUGUAAGGUGGCCAACUAUUGAUAAACUAGUACGUAUAUAAAAAUUAUUAUUGCACAUGGCCGCUAAGAGGUUGGCUGUAUAUGACAUGACAACUUCUUAUAGCCGACCCUUGGCUGUAUUAUUAACCAUGCUCUUAGUGAGGUAGCUAGUAUAUCAUAGACGACUAGCUAGUAUCAGACUAGCCAAAGUGGGAGUAACUUCAGCAGUAACAUCGACUCCAACUCAGAAAACUUGCUUAUGUGGGAGUAAACCGUGCCCAAUGCAAAAUACAAUCCCAGUCAUAAUUUUUUCAGGAAACGUGUGGUAUCCCAAACGAAAAGUACAUGUCACUCUUGCGGCAACGAUACCCAAUAAAUCACAAACGGUCUGCAGCACUUGUAUGUGUGCGAAGAGGCUCCUGAACCGUUUGUGAUAGAACAUUAUCGUAGACGAUAAUUGUUGGCAAACGUGUGCGAUGGAGUCUAGCAUGGCAGACAGGUUACGCAGAAAACUCGUGUGCGAUGGGGCACAAAUCGCACACAGUUCAUAUGUUGGCCCGUGUGCCUUACAUACUAUUUCCCAAACGGUUUGUUACGACAGACCGUAUGGUUUCAGUGCGUCAUUAGAAACGCUUAAUCACCGAUACCACACGUGCGAAAGAAUUUAGUGUGUGCUUCAUCGCACACGAUUACAUUUUGGAAGGCCUCUGGAUCACUGCUCCAUAUCCCCGACGGUUUCUGGGUCGUGUGGGAAGUACACCCUAUCGCACACACUCACUUGGCGACGGUUCCAAAUGCCAUCGCGGAAAGGGGUUGAAAACAGUUUGUUUAGAACCGACGCGUACCAUUGUCUAUCUAUCUAUCUACCUAUCUAUCUAUCUAUCUAUCCAUCCAUCUAUCUAUCUAUCCAUCUAUCUAUCCACCUAUCCAUCUAUCCAUCUAUCUAUCUCUAUCCAUCUAUCUAUCUAUCCAUCUAUCCAUCUAUCUAUCCAUCUAUUUAUCUAUCUAUCUAUCUAUCUAUCUAUCUAUGUAUCCAUCGAUCCAUCUAUCCAUCCAUCGAUCCAUCUAUCCAUCCAUCUAUCUAUCCAUGCAUCCAUGUAUCCAUCUAUCGAUCUAUCCAUCUAUCCAUAUAUCGAUCUAUCCAUCUAUCUAUCCAUCUAUCCAUCUAUCCAUCUAUCGAUCUUUCCAUCUAUCGAUCUAUCCAUCUCUUCAUCUACCCAUCUAUCCAUCUAUCCAUCUACCGAUCUAUCUAUCCAUCUAUCUACCUACCUAUCUAUCUAGCUAUCUAGCUAUCUAUCUAUCUAUCCAUCCAUCUGUCCAUCCAUCCAUCUAUCUACCUACCUACCUACCUACCUACCUACCUAUCUAUCUAUAUAUCUAUCUAUCUAUCUAUCUAUCUAUCUAUCUAAAGGAAAUAUGCCCUAGAUGCAAUAAUAAAGUUGUUAUUUAUAUUACUUAAACUAGCAGAGUCACCCGCGCAUUUGCGCGGCUAGAUUGACUACAUAUAUUGUUAUAUUUGGGAUUAUUUUUCUAUGCCAACUUUAUGGCCUCUUACUCAGAUAUUAUCUAAUUUAAUUUACCACCACCAUAUGUUAUAUCCAUAGAUUAUAAUUAAAAGGCAACUUGCGACGAAACAUGGUCAGAUUAUUGAGUGCUCAGAAGACGGGCGCAAUAUCAUAUAUAGACUUCUAUACCAAUCUUCAUGGUUCCCAUCUUUGAUCCUCUCCUCGUCCCUUGGUAUCUAUCUUUGCACCCAAUAUGUCUUUGGAGUUCCAAGAAUUGGAUCUUAGCAUGAAUGGCUUCAAAGUGUACCAAAUGUUCUCUUGUUCCUCCCAAAUUAAUUACUGGUUGCAUUCUUAGUUGCUUUGACAUUCUUGGUUAAUGCAAUGUCUUGCCUACCAAUAUAUGCAUCCACACACGAUCAUAUUUAUAUGACCACUUACCUCUGUAUUCUGGUAUUUGUGCUUCAGAAUUUUUCUCUCAUUCAGUUUAUUCAUAGAUUAGAAACGUCGAUCGUUUCUUUAUUGGUUUGCAUUAUCUUGUUUGCCGAAUGUAAGCAUCCACACAUGCUCGUCAUGAUAUGAUUGGUCAUCAUUGUAUAUUUGUAUUUGUGUGUUGAUAGCUUAAGGAUUUUCUCGGAUUCACUUCAUAGUUUAAGGAUUUUCUCGCGUUCAAUUUAUUCUACCUUAUUCAUUUUCAUGUUUCUUUAUUGUAUUCAUAUCCAUUCUUACAAUAUAUUUUCCAAGAUAUGAACUCAACUACUAAUUACGUAGUUUUCAAUGAAAUUUUACAUGUAAAAGUGGUACAAAUGCAUAAACCCAAUUUUUUUUUAAACACGUUGACUUACAAAAAGGACAAUUCAAGCUGCAUGUACGUCCGACUCAUGUUUACCUGACAAUGUCGAUGUUGAUUUCAGCAGUAAAUGAGCUGUGUGUGACCUUUGCGCUUUCCGGUAUUCUUCUAACCUGUGUGCUUUAUGAUCAGUUUGUUGUGCUUAGUACUGGACACUGGAGUAUACUAUCAUAUUUGAUACAAACAAAUCCGAACUGCUAUAGUUAUGAUCCACUGUAUAGUUAAUGGUGGUGGUAAUUAAUAUAUGUGGUUAAAUACUUGCGCUCCUUAGGUGGGGAGUUGGAUUUGUAUUUGUCUAAAAUGAAUUUCAGAUUUCGUAUCAGUGGUGAAGCCAGCCGGAAGAACCUCUGCGUCAUUAUUAAUUUUGGUGAUAUUUUUCAUCAUAGUGUAGAAUAAUUUUAGUGCUUAUUCCGCAAAAAAAUGGCCUCAACUGACCCCAUAGCUUGUAUGUUGCGCCACCACUGUUUCGUAUAUCUUAUUACAUCCGUUGUUUUUAGAUCUUGAUGCAUAACUUUGACAAUUUUUAAUAGAUAUGUGUCUGUAUAAAAAAAUUAUAAAUGCUAUGAUAAUUUGAUUAAUUAUGAUGAAUAAAAUGGUAUUGCUUUGACUUGAUCCCUCUAACAAUUUAUAGGAAUGCUCUUAAAUAUUUCUGCUUCAUUUGAUCUCAUUAUAGCCUGCCUAAAUUACAUGGCUUAAUCGCCUUUUUUCUUUUAUCUUAGUUCAUUUCCGUAAAUUCAUUUGUACUAUAUAUGCUCCCGUAAAUUCAUUUUUUUAAUUGCUCACAUUUUUUUGAGGCAUUUUGAGUUUCUCACGUACGCUCAAACGCCCAAGAAAACACAUAUAGUGUUCGCUACGCCCAAGAAAACACAUUGAGGCAGUAAUUUCUUCAGGCAAGAUCGAUCGGCAGCUAAUUAAGUAGGCUGGAUGGCAUUGAGAAAUCCAAAAACGAUUUACAUACACAUGGUAGAUCGUCUCUCUCUCUCCUUCCACCCCUUCCUUUCAUGGCCAUCGUAGACUGCACCAUGUGGCAUUCAAACUUUUAUCAAGGGGAGAGUUUCCUCACACACACACACACACAUGCACAUACGCAAGCACACGCACACACGUGUAGUACAAACUUAGAAUUUUUGGAAAUAAUGGGAGGCCGAGCAACGGCCAUGUGAAAAUAUGAGGUAUAUAGCUUGUGGAUUUCCUUUCAGUGUACAAGGCCUGCAUGAGGAAUGGAUAAAAAAUUAUAUCUUUGAUUCCCUUAGUUAAAUCUUAUCCUUCAUCGUCAAUUAUGACUAAGCAUACAUAGUAACCGCUAGUUUCUCUUAUAUGCUUCCGAGAAGAUAAGACUGGAUAUUUUAGUUGCUAUUAAUUGUUUCCCUUCUUUCGCUAAAUAGUAGUCAAACAUGUUAUUAAUGUAUUUUGUAAGGAUAAGGUCGAGCAUCAUGGCCACUAUGUUCUAUAUAUACUGAAUUUGGUGUUCAGUAUGACAUAACAAACACAUAUUGUGAGAAGGAGUAGUGUACAUUGUUCUCUAGUGCACUUUGUUCAGCAAGUUGGGUGAAAAUGUUGAAUAGAACCAUCAAGUUUUCAUACUUUUUUUCAUGGCACAGGUUUGCCUUCUCAUGAUGAUGGCCGCACCGUUUGCACAAGCUGCUGGGAGGCCUGUGGCCUCCUUACCAUGGGUAGCGGGGUGUUGCCCGAGGAACUAUUUGUGUUGUGGUGUUGGUGCCGUUGCCCCGACAUCCCAUGCAUCACAGGCCACCUCUGUACCUUGAGUUAUGGUUUCGCCUGAUCUCCUCUCAUAACAUAGUUGAUAUAACAUAGUAGCAUCACAAAGGUUGCAUGGUUUCAUUGAUUCAUCUCUUUUCUACUCCUUGAAACUUGUGAUGCCACUUUUGAACAAUGUCAUUGCUAUGUCUUCUUAUAACUAAUAAAAUGGGAGGAUAUUUUCAUCUUAUUUGAAUUGUGUUGUAACAUUACCUACUAAUGUGGAUGAUCUGAGUGGGACUACAUAGAUCGGAUCUUCUAAAGAUGUAAUCUAGGACUUUGCGAGAUGAUGAAAUUGUCCUUUAUCUUGGUCGACACCUUUUCGUAGAAGUGUUGGUCGGCCGUCUGUGUCUUUUUGCGGUGCAUGCCGUAGAAUCCUCCAUGUUUUGUAGUUGUACAAUAACCUUUGAGGCAACCGGGGGUGGUACGUCUGAGGAAGUCGGUGGCCCAGGAAUAUUCAUAAUAAGAUCUUGACCAUGGAUGCCAAGUAAUUUGCCCCGUGCUGAUGUCGUCGGGCUGACCCGCUCACUUAUGUUUUGACUCAAGGAGUCGCUAUGUUCACCGAGUCGCGAGACAGCGGGAGGAAGGAGACGAAGGUCCCAAACGUCAGACCAAAAAGGUGGACUAGGGCUCGCCCUAGUUGUGCUCUCGGGUAUUUUCAGUUACUAGUAGGAGUAAGAAGCAUUGCAAAUUGCUCCCUCUGUUCAAUCCGUAUAUAUGUAGUCCAUAUUCAUAUAUUCAAAAUAUUUUAUAUUUGUGAACGAAGGAAGUAAUUAAUUGUAAUGCAACAAUUUCAGGGGAGGCCAGUCAACAGCUAACUAAAUGUGCUGGAUGAGACUGGAGAAAUGUAUAAACGAUUUACACAUGAUAGAACUACUCUUUUCUUGUUAAGAAAUGGAAGAAUGGAUGAUUUUAUCCGUUCGGAACAAAACCCAAUAUUCAUCCAGUUAGACGUUGUUCUGAAUUGUGACGCUUUUGAAAGUUUUCUCGCAGAAAUAUGUGUGUAUUCCAGUUGUAUCAUUAGCAAACCAAGGUUGUAUAUAUUAUAGCACAAAGAAUGUUUGGUUGAUUCGUUCAGGCGAAUCGGGUUUGUUGCUGACUGCCAAAGUCAGGCCAACUCCAGCGCACGACCCCAAACGGACAUCUGUUUUGCCUGGAUUCUGCCCGUUUGGAUAGGGCAAUGGGGUCGUGUCCGGGCCUGUCCUGUGAUGCGGUGGCCGUGCGCACAACGUGCGGACGCAUCCUUUGGCCUCAUCAUGUCCGCCACGGCCAAAAAUGCCCAUAUAUUCAUAUUUCAAUGUUCAAAACUAGUUUGCACGUUCAAAUAUUAAUUGUCUGAAAAUAAAAAUAGUUAUUACAACCCAAUCAAAAUUGUCUCUAAUAAAAUAGUUUUACAACCAAAUCGAAAUUGUCUUGAAUGAACAUAAUGAACCAAUACAUCUAUUGGUUGCCAAUGUGAUUCCACAUGUGCUCAACCAAGUCAUUUUGAAGAUCCAAAUGAGUGUGCCAAUCAUGCAUUUCACGAUGAAAUUGGGCAAACUUCUCAAACGUGGCCGGUUCUUGGUGCAGGGGCUGAACAUUUUCACCUUGAAAAUCAAAUCCUUGGUCGAAGAUGCUGUUAUCAUGCUCGUCCUCGAUGAUUAUGUUGUGCAUGAUCACACAAGCAGUCAUCACCUCCCGAAGCUUCCCUUCAUCCCAUGUCAAUGCAGGGUUUCAAACGAUACCCCAUCGGGAUUGAAGCAAACCAAAAGCACGUUCCACAUCCUUCCUAGCACUCUCUUGCAUUUGGGCAAAUCUCUUUCUCUUCUCACCUUGGGGGUUCGAGAUUGUCUUCACAAAAAGUUGACCACUGAGGAUAUAUACCAUCAGCUAGGUAGUAUCCCUUGUUAUACUGGUGGCCGUUGAUCUCAAAGUUGCCAGGUGGGGAGUGGCCUUCUGCAAGCCUUGCGAAGACUGGAGAACGCGGCAGCACGUUGAUAUCAUUGUGAGAACCUGCCAUGUCGAAGAAAGAAUGCCAUAUCCAAAGAUCUUGCGAAGCCACCGCUUCUAAUAUGAUAGUGCAAGCUUUAACAUGCCCCUUGUACUGGCCCUGCCAAGAAAAUGGACAGUUCUUCCACUCCCAGUGCAUACAAUCUAUGCUACCAAUCAUGCCUGGAAAGCCUCUAGCUGCGUUGGUCGCCAACAAGCUUUCUGUAUCAGUGGCAUUUGGCUGCUGAGGGAGUCCUGGAUUAAGGGGUCCUCGGGCGUCUGGGCUAUGUAACAUGGGCUGGACUAAUGGGCCGCGAAGAUACAAGAUGGAAGGCUUUCCCCCCAUGUCCGGAUGGGACUCUCCUUGGCGUGGAAGGCAAGCUUGGCAUGCGGAUAUUAAAGAUUCCCUUCCCUGUAAACCGAGUCUGUACAACCCUAGCCCCCUCCGAUGUCUAUAUAAACCGGAGGGUUUAGUCCGUAGAGGCAAGGAUAAUCAUACAGGCUAGAUAUCUAGGGUUUAGCCAUUACGAUCUCGAGGUAGAUCAACUCUUGUAAUCCCUAUACUCAUCAAAGUCAAUCAAGCAGGAAGUAGGGUAUUACCUCCAUUAAGAGGGCCCGAACCUGGGUAAACAUCGUGUCCCCUGCCUCCUGUUACCCUCUAUCCUUAGACGCACAGUUCGGGCCCCCCUAUCCGAGAUCCGCCGGUUUUGACACCGACAGCUGCCUCAAGUACUCAGGGCCAAACACUGCCACCACAGCCUUGUAGAAUUUGUAAAGUGACAACAGACAUGUCGACUCACUCAUGCGCACGUACUCAUCCACCAGAUCGCCUGGAAUUCCAUAUGCAAGCAUGCCGAUGGCCGCGGUGCACUUCUGGUAAGAGGAGAAUCCAAGCUUGCCAAGGGCAUCCGUCUUGCACUCGAAGUAUGGGUCAUGAGCAACCACUCCCUCUCGGAUACGAUUGAACAGAUGCCUUGCCAUACGAAAACGGCGACGGAAUUUAUUCGGCUUGAAGAGCGAGGUAUUCGCAAAGUAAUUGGCAUAGAGCAAGGCGUGGCCUCUCUCUCUAUUGCGUUUCAGGUUGGGAGCACGGCCAGGGACUGACCCCAUGUACCGAGGAAGCUGCCCAAUGUGAUCGUGAACGACCAGUGCAACCACCACCAGAUCUUCGUCAUCCGAGGACGAAUCAUCCGAUGAAUAAAUGAAGUGGUGGAAGAAAAAUUCAUCUCCACUGUCCAUACCUUUGUGGGCAAAGUGUCCAACACCUUGCGGUCGUGGUGGCAAAUAGGCCGCGAUGAUCAUCUCGAUGCAGCAGGGGUGGUUGGCGGCCGGCUACUGGCCGCUAUGGAGCACCUGGCGAAAGCUGCCGUGGUCCAUAUCCGUCGCCGGUGGUCGUAUCCCCUCUGGCACCGGCUACAACGACGACGGCCAAAUCUCCUCCAAGCGAUGGCCAGAACUCCUACGAAAGCGCGGGCUUGGUGGCGGCCGUGUCGAGACGUGGUUUGGUAUGGAUGGCCGGGGGGAAGCAGUGAGGAGGCGGUCGGAGAAUACUGGGGGCGCCGGUGGCGGGGUGGGGCGGAGGAGAGCGGGUGGAGGCGUUGGAGGCGAAUGGAGUGCUAGUGUCCCCAACAGGCGGGCCGCGGGGAGGACAAGGGCGUGUGUCCAGCCCGUCCGUGUGAUGUCCGUUUCAUCCCAAACUCGGCACAAGUUUGGGCCAGGAAUGGGUAAAAAACGGACGAAAUCCGGACAUUUGUCUAUUUGAGGCCGUGCCUUGGGUCGCGCUAUUCGUGUAUUCUACCCUAAACGGACGCACCAGAACGGAAUGGGGUCGCGUGCUGGAGUUGGCCUCACGACCGUUUCUGCCUUUGGCGCAGACAAGAGAUUCUACACUGUAAAGGAAAAAGCUGAAAGCUCGCUUGUCUCGUGUGUUUCUCUUCUCUUGCACCUUGUCGGAAAACAGCGUGCACCAGGGACGCUCGAUUCCAUGGCAGGCAUCAAUUCAAUCGAUCAUGCUACAGGGAACCGGCACUAUUUUCUUUUUCUUUUUCUUUUUCUUUUAGGUCGUGAACGCAAGUCAUUUGAGACAUUCACAUAGGACUUACAUAAUUGGUAGAUUUAUUAGCAUCAGUGUGGAGCUAAAGUGUUUGAUGUUUUGUAUGAAUGGUUUGGUCUUAACAAUCAAGCCGACCACUCAGGACCUACUUUUGGACUUUUUUUUUGUAUUAUUGUAUACUAGCAAAAGGGCCCGUGCGCGGAGAAAAAAAUUAUAAUCUUGAAUGACCAUGAUCACAUUUUUUUGCAUCACCGAGAUACACUAUCACUUUCAAUUUCGGGAAAUCAUGUACAUUUUUUAAACUUGUGAACAUUUUUCAAAUUCUUGAACACUUUUACAAAUCUGCAAACAUAUUCUAAAAUCAAGAACAUAUUUUGAAUUCAUGAACAUUUUAUAGUAUUUACAAACAUUUUUAGAAAUUACGAAUUCUUUUUAACAACUUUCUUGAAUAGGCAAACAAUUCUAAAAUGGACGAACAUUGUUUUAUAAAUCGGUGGAACAAUUUUUGAAAUUCACGAACAUUUUUUUGAUUUUACAAACAUUUUUUGAAAUGCAUGAUCAUUUUUGUAUAAACUAUUUUGUAUGUCACGAACAGAUUUUCAAAUAUUUGGUUAUUUCCCCAUUCAUGAACAUUUUUUGAAUGGUGAUAUUUUCUUCAAUUUCAUUAACAUUUUUUAUACACCAAUUUUUAAAAAGUCAUGGACGUAUUUUGAUUUCAUGAACAUUUGUUUUCAAAAUUUCGAACAUUUUUCGAGUCAGAUUCUUUAAUAAAAUUGCAAAUAUUUUUUGAAUACAUAAACAUUUUAUGAUUUAUUAAAACUUUAUUUGAAAAUUAUUUUUAAAUUUCAAAUAUUUUGUGUAUUCCGAAUUUAGUUAAAGCAGAAAAAACGGAAAAGGAUAAAAAAGGAAAUGUUAAAAACAGGCCGCCCGGACAUGGGCGGCCCAAACAGGCGGGCCGCGCCUUAUCCCUACGCGCAGAGCCCAGUAUGGGAGGUCGCUACUACAUGGCCCAGUCCAGACGUGGAUUCCCUGUGUGAAACAUUUAUAUCACUUAUACAUGACAUUUGUGGGUAAUUUGUACGACGUGCCAUAAGAAGAAAUAGCCCCUUUAUUAUUACUAGCAAAAGUGUCCGUGUGUUGUAAUGGGAGAAAUAAAAUCAAAAUCUCCAAUGACCAUGACCAUAUUUUGUUGCAUCACCCAGACACCCUAUCACUCUCAAUUUCAUGAAAUCAUGAAUAAUUUUUGAAAUCACGAACAUGUUUUAAAAUUAUUACUCAUAUUUGAAAUUGUGAACAUUUUUCAAAUUCAUGAACACUUAUACAAAUUUUCGAACAUUUUCUAAAAUCCAGAACAUUUUUGGAAUUGAUGAACAUUUUAUACUAUUUGCAAACACUUUUUAAAGAUUCUGAACAUCUUUAUAAACAAUUUUCUUUAAUCGAGGAACAUUUGUAUGGAAAUUGACGGAACAAUUGUCGAAAUUCACAAACAUUUUUUGAUUGAACUAACAUUUUUUGAAAUACAUGAUCAUUUUUUGAAUCAGUAGACAUUUUCUGAAUGACUAAACUAUGUUGUAAGUCACGAAAUAGUUUUUGAAUUUUAGGAUAUUUCUCCAUUCAUGAACACUUUUUGAAUUGGCUAUUUUUUUCAAUUUCAUUAACAAUUUUUGAUACAAAAACUUUUUAAAAAUCAUGAAUUUUAUUUGAUUUCCCAAAAAAUUGUGUUUAAAGUUUUGAACAUUUAUUGUGUAAGCAAUUGUUUUUUACAAAACAGCGACCAUAUUUUGAAUCCACAAACAUUUUAUGAUUUAUGAAAAUUUUAUGUCAAAAUACUCAUUUUUUAAAUUUUCUAAACUUUUUUGAAAUCCUAAACUAUUUAUAGUAAAAAGAACGAAAACAGGAAAGAAAAAUGAAAAUAGAAAACGAAAUCAAAGAAACAGGCCAGCCUGAAAUGGGCCGGCCCAAACAUGCGUGUAGCGUCUUCUCCCAGCGUGCCGAGAACAUUAUAGGAGGUCCCUACUGUAGAGCCGGCCCAGAUGGGGGAAUUCCCUUGUGUGAAUUUUUUGUAUCACUUAUAUGUGGCAUUGAACUCAUGAAGCAUGCGCUAUCCCUUCCAGCUCGCCGCCAUGUCUGGCUCGGACAACCAGAUGGACUUUCUUUCGUCCCUGUAAACGUUUUGAUGAUAUAAUAAAAAGCUUCGGAAUUUGUCUAAAAAAACUUAUAAGUGGCAUUGGUGGGUAAUAUUUUGCAACUUUAGAGGUAAUUCCAUGACGUACCACCAGAAGCACAAUAGCCCCUUUACUAUUAUUAGGUACUCUUUUUUCCUUGUGGAGCUUUGGAAAUGAGAGAAUUUGAAUAUAGUAACUCUCGGAAACUCUUAUUGGACGAGAGAGAUUUAAUAUGAUAUUGGCAUGGGUUCUACCAACUAAACGAAGAAGUAUUUGACUGAAUAAACAGACAAUUUCCUUUAAUCGACGAACAUUUUUAUGAAAAUUGGUGGAAUAACUUUUGAAAUUCAUAAAUAUUUUUUGAGUUAACGAACAUUUUUUGAAAUACAUGACCAUUUUUUUGAAUCUGUGAACGUUGUAUGAAUGAAUAAACUAGUUUGUAAGUCAUGAGCAGUUUUUCAAUUUUUAGGAUAUUUUUCCCUUCAUGAACAUUUUUUCAAUUGGUGAAAUUUUGUUCAAUUUCAUUAACAAUUUUUAGUGCAUAAAACUUUUUAAAAUCAUGAACAUUAUUAUUUACCAAAGAAGCAAAUUGUUUUUUGCAAAAUCAUGGACAUUUUUUGAACCCACAAACAUUUUAUUAUUUAUGAAACAUUUUUUUAAUACACAAUUUUUUUAAUUUUCGAAUUUUUGUGAAAUACUAAAUUAUUUAAAGUAGAAAAAUCAAAAACAGAAAAGAGAAAGGAAUAAUAGAAAAGGAAGUUAAAUAAUAGGCCGACCGAACAUGGGCUGGCCCAAACGGGCGCACUGCAUCUUCUNNNNNNNNNNNNNNNNNNNNNNNNNNNNNNNNNNNNNNNNNNNNNNNNNNNNNNNNNNNNNNNNNNNNNNNNNNNNNNNNNNNNNNNNNNNNNNNNNNNNNNNNNNNNNNNNNNNNNNNNNNNNNNNNNNNNNNNNNNNNNNNNNNNNNNNNNNNNNNNNNNNNNNNNNNNNNNNNNNNNNNNNNNNNNNNNNNNNNNNNNNNNNNNNNNNNNNNNNNNNNNNNNNNNNNNNNNNNNNNNNNNNNNNNNNNNNNNNNNNNNNGUAUUAUUAUUGUUUCAAAUUUAUUCAUAUAUUAUUUUCAAUUGUACAACCAUAAUUUUUCUUAUCUCUCUCGUUCCACUACAUGCUCCUAGUCAAAGAUUUUUUUUAAUAAUGGGUGUUUUUAUUAACUCAAAAUAUAGCAUCAAGCGGAUACAAAACAUAAUGAGCCACACCCGGUCUAUGCAUAACUAAGAUGCACACAGCCAAAAGCAGAAGUCUGACAAAAAUAAGAUAAGAAAAUCGACAUAUCGACAACAGUGAGUCAUGUAGUACCGACACUAUGCCUCUGUCGAAGGAGGUGGUGGAGCGAUCUGGAGAUUAUGCUGCCAUCCAUGUUGAGUAAAUAUCUCCCUGGCCACUUGCUCCAACCGCAUAGACGCCGCCAUGAACAACGGUUGGUACUCCAUUCGGUGUAGCAUACACCAUACUAGAGGCUGGGGCGCCACCUGAGGCGGGCCUAUGCGCACUUAUUUUGUCUGGGCACUUCGGUUGUCAUGUUUGGUCAUCAGUAUCACUUAUGUACAUCAAUAUGGGCGUAUGCUGUAUUGUUUGAGUUCAUUAGGAUCUAUUAGUAUCACAUCAAUCAAAGUACAUAUACUAUGUUAUUUGAGUUCAGAACCAUCAUAGGCAAUGAUACGUCUAAUAAGGAUAUAUAACAUUUAAUUCAAAAGGAAAGACAAAGUAGAAUUAAGUGCUUUAGUUUGGCCGAAGAAAGGAACCUCAUGAUGCCAUGACUAAGGAACCAAAUAUAAAAGAGCACCUUUCAGAGUACUCCAGAGGUAUGACAUCAUCCAUUUCCACAUCAGAAUCAUCGGAAUUCUCCUGAUCUUCAUUUCGAUGUACCCAACACAAAUGCUACAUGGAUUUUAGUCAGCUGCACUCCCCACUACUUCUACACUUCCCCUUUUUCACACCGACGAGCAGAGACUGAUGCAAGUUGAUCGAACACAGAACAACAUAUAAUUUCCUAGAGAUGCGCUGGGCCUGAAAGGCAACAUACCUAGCAUGCGCAUAAAAUGUGAGAGUAACAAUAAAAGAACAUACCAUUUACCGAUAUGAUUAUUAUUGCUUGCCAAAAUGAUACGUUUUGAUUACUAUUGCAUGCCAAUAUUCUUAAUCACUCCAAGCAAAUUUAACCUAAACUAAAUAUCUAAGAGUAAGCUCUGGUUUAUGUAUUUUACAGAAGUUUGGUUCAGCGAAACUUCGGAAGCAAAUGUGUGAAGGUUUUAUCAUUCUAAUUAAAGGCCUUUUGAUUGUGCAAAACUUACACUACCACAUGAGUUACUGACCAACAUGAGAUGCAAAGUAACAACAGCAUGAUAAUUUUUUUUGAAGGCAGUCAUAUUCUAAAGCAUUAAAAGAUGAAUUCCAAUGCUUUGAUUCUGUAAAGAAUUAGAUCGAUCACUCAACAGUUCUAUUGGCGCCACUAAAAUUCUGAGUGCAAUGUUGUGUAUGUAGCUAAAAUUCACCCAUCAAAGACAACCUUAAUAAUAAGCAAUGGUCAAAACAAGCAAUUGUUGAAGUUAAAUGUAAUUAGAUAGGAAGUCACAUUUGAUUCAUGACCAUCGAGCUGAAAAUGAGACCGAUAAAAGCUGAUUCACCAUGAAGAGAAACAACUAAUGUGAACCUCGGGUUGUAAAACAAAUAGGAUGAGUCGUGUGCUGAUUGCAAAAAAUUGUACUUCUAACCAAAUGACCAUGCUUCAUGAAUAGAUGACAAUAUAGUAACACGAAAGUGAAGUACGGUGAAAUUUUGUAAGCUACUAAGGGCAUAGGGCAAAGCUCACACUCCAGCUUGCACUCCUUGAAGAAAUCAACCAAAAGCACCCAGAAAGAUAAAUGGCAUUGUGGCAUCCGAUGAAUGUUGAUAACUGUACCAUCACACUAAUUUAAUCUACAAAAUUCAUGUCAACAUCACUAAUCAUGAUGUAUCAGGUUAGGAUAAAAUCAUUGUUUUUUCCCAAAAUAAAAUAAAACAAGCCCAGUUAGAAAGAAAUCAUAAGCCUAUCAGACAAUCAGGCAAUUCUGUUAGCAUGUCAACAAUCAGACAGAACAAAACCUAUAGUCCUCAUUUUUUUCUUUCUAAAAAAAGUGUAAUGCUAGAAAAGAGAGUUAAAUAAAAUGCUACGUGAAUCAGCAUACAGAAAAUUCAUAGAAGCAAUGAAGAAAAUAUGAACAAAAUUUAUGUCGAAACACCUAUACUUUCCCCACGAGCAAAUAUGUGUAAUGUUAGAAAAGGGAGUUAAAUAAAAUGUUAGGCAAAUCCGCAUCCAGAAAAUUCAUAGAAGCAAUGAAGCAAAGAUGAGCGACAAAUUUAAUCUACACACACACACACACACACACAUUCAGGCAAACAAAUUACUUCGAUUGAAUCCAUUCCUUUGCAUAUAUGGCAUAAAUGCAUCUAAGGAAAAAAAAACUUGAUGGUGUUAGUUUACCUUGCCAAGAUCAUGAAAUCCAUCUAAAUGAAUAAGAAGCUCCAACAGUGUCCGCUGGAUCUCAUGGUCGUCAUUGGUUCCCUCACUAAAUCUUCUCGCAUCAAUUGCAUCGAUUUCAUCCAUGAAGAUAAUGCAUGGCUAGAAAUAACAACUUGAUGAAAAUGAAACAAAAUUUGCAAGCACCGUAAAUAAACUAAAUGGUGAUAUAAGCUAAAAUGAUCUCAGAAGUGCACUUUUACAUAUAUAGAGAUCAGUUUGAUUUCUUCUUCUCAGGAAAAACUGAUACUGAAAUCUAAAGCUUAAAGUUUUUCUAGUGUUGAACCAGAAUACAAUUAGAUGACAUGACAUCUGAGUCAAGGGAACUAUCAAAGUCACAGCUUGAAUCUCAACACCAGUAGAUGCAUAACCAUCUGCCAACAUACGUUUCUAACAGAUAAUAAGGGAAUUAGGUUUAAGACCAAUUGGCUUUGCAAAAAAGAAAGGCGGAGCAAAACUUACUUGGCGAUCGCGUGCAUAGCCGACCAUUUCUCUGAUUAAAAGCGCACUUUCCCCGAUAUAUUUGUCAAUUAUAGCACUUGACACAAUCUGGUUUUUAGACAACACGUCAGUGUAAUGUAAUACUCACAGAAUGAAAAUACCAACCACCAUCAAUCAAGUGAAAACCACAGCUCCAAAAAGUUAGCAUGAAUGUUACUGGAUAUAGCCCUUGAUAGUAAUGGCUUCCCUGUAGAGUAGAACGCACUUGAAAAAGUUAAAGAAACAUACACUGGCUCCCAUAUAUUGAUCUUGUAUUUGACAAGUGGCCGGGCAUCAACAUUGUGCCUGCUGGUGUACCAAUUCAGCUUGUAGCUGCCAGCUAAUCUCCUUCUGAACAGUUAUGCUGUCCUCACUCACGUGCUACGCCUAUUCAAACUUGCUUAAUUUAAUUUGUUACUACUAUGUUAAUGCUGACAUAUUAACUGGCAGACCUCAUGUACUAACAGUAAAUCCCAGCAUACUUUCUUAAUUUGCUACUAUCCGGAUUUAUUCUUUUAGCGAGAGGUCAGGUAUCACUUGGAACAACUGAGUUUCUUUUUAAUCUUUGUGGACACUACACUUGAACGCCACAACCACCUGGAUAUGUCAGGCAGGACGGGCAGCAGCGCAUCAUCAGUAAGUUUAUUUAAGAGAGUAAAAUUCAGUCGCAAUCAGUCAAUCUCAAUCAGGUUCAGAUUUGGACGCGACCUUGAAUAACGAAGCCCCAACUGGGAAGAACAAGGUUGCAAGAACAAGCAGAUUGACGAUGGGUUCAUGGAAGCUUACCAGGCAGGCAGUCCGCCCGGCGGCUUGAGCAAGCUGCUGCUGGUACCCUACGCGCAGUCGCAGUCCGCACCGGCCAGGGCACACGAGCACUGACGCGCGUGCCGCCUGCCGCUUCACCAUGCCCACGUUGUAGUCGCCACCGAUUCACGGCAGGGCAGAGGGGCCUCGACCUCGUCCUCCUCCACAUCAUCAUCGGCGAUGCCCUUCCCCUCCUGACCCCAACACCAUCAUGCCCCCGCCGACUCAUCUCCCUACAGCGACGGCGACUCCGGAGGCUCCGAGACCUGGGACACCGACAUGAGUGGCUCGUCGGCAUCGGAUCUCCUCCACCCNNNNNNNNNNNNNNNNNNNNNNNNNNNNNNNNNNNNNNNNNNNNNNNNNNNNNNNNNNNNNNNNNNNNNNNNNNNNNNNNNNNNNNNNNNNNNNNNNNNNNNNNNNNNNNNNNNNNNNNNNNNNNNNNNNNNNNNNNNNNNNNNNNNNNNNNNNNNNNNNNNNNNNNNNNNNNNNNNNNNNNNNNNNNNNNNNNNNNNNNNNNNNNNNNNNNNNNNNNNNNNNNNNNNNNNNNNNNNNNNNNNNNNNNNNNNNNNNNNNNNNNNNNNNNNNNNNNNNNNNNNNNNNNNNNNNNNNNNNNNNNNNNNNNNNNNNNNNNNNNNNNNNNNNNNNNNNNNNNNNNNNNNNNNNNNNNNNNNNNNNNNNNNNNNNNNNNNNNNNNNNNNNNNNNNNNNNNNNNNNNNNNNNNNNNNNNNNNNNNNNNNNNNNNNNNNNNNNNNNNNNNNNNNNNNNNNNNNNNNNNNNNNNNNNNNNNNNNNNNNNNNNNNNNNNNNNNNNNNNNNNNNNNNNNNNNNNNNNNNNNNNNNNNNNNNNNNNNNNNNGGAGGCUCGAGCUUGGGAAGGGGGGAGGGGAACGAAGGGGUGGGGCUCCAGGCAAUCCUCACCUCCAAAGACAACUUGACCGGCAACACGGGCAGGCUAGACCUCUUCUAUGGCGAGGCCAACUUCGGCGAGGGGACGAGGUGGUGCGGGACCUUGGAGAUAUCUCCCCCGCGCGUGGAGCUUGUCCGGCGACGCCGCUGAAGAUGCCACUGCCACGACCAGCUCGAUCCUCCUUCGCUGGACUCCGAUCUGGACGAGGACUGAGCUAGGAGGAGGGAAGCGGGAGAGGAGAAGGCGCAGGAGAAGCGGCUGAGCCGGCGGCGCAGGGACCAGGGAGAGAAGAAGGCGAACGAAGAGGGGAUUGACAGAGUGGCGAAGAAGCAUGCGGGCUAGGUUUCCUUUUCUUUUUCUCCCAGCACUGCACAGUUGCUUGUCUCGUAGCUUGCCGGCAUGGCUAUGGCGAGGGCUCGCCCUUGAUGCGUAGGUUAAUGUAUUCGACUAGCGGGGCGCCUCUUGAGAGGAAGCUGAGCGGUGCUAGGUGGGACGCGCCCCUUUCCCUUUCCUGCAUAUACUAUGUAAUGUUAUUGCAUCAGAUUUAAAGUAACAUGCUCAGCUAAGUGCAAAGUGUGAUGAAUAAGUGAAACAGAAGGAAGCUGGUACAUUGGUGUAUGCCAAAAACUGAAUAUUAUAACAUAAACACAUGAAGUCAUCGACGUCUAUGGUAUGAAAUGCACAUGCACAAAAUUAGAGUGCACAUGAAGACAGAGCACUAUAGUGUCCUGAGUUGCAAGUCUCUAAGCACUGAAAUGAUCUGCAAUCAUAUGUACAAAGUAACCGAAUAAGAACAAGAAAUUUAGAGUAAAUGAGCUGUAAAAUUGUAAGUAAUGAGCAUUGGAAUUAAGGCAGAGUCAGUGACAGUUGGGUGCACUUGACAGGAAAAUCGGCGAGGCAUAAUAUGAAAUUAGAGUAAAUGAGUGCGUGCACUUCUCUUGGUGGCACCUAAAUGAAAAAAGAAACUAUUCACCUCUCGAUAUAUUCCCUAAGACCAUAUAAAAUCAGGAAGGUACUGAAGAGAGAUGCUCAAAUUCGAAGUUGCCAUGUCUAGGAAUGCUUGAAGCUUCAAAGAUUUCCUAUAAUACAGCAUGCCUCUAACUAUUCACAAUAAGAAAAACAUGUAAAUGCGGAAUCAACCAAAUGAUGGUAAAUUGUAGUUGAUUUUGGCCAAGCAAACGUCAGAUGAAAGAAACAUACAUGAGUGAACAUCACGAUUGGAUGUUUUAUUCAAAUUUAACAGGUUAAACUCACCAAAUACAUCUGGAUAUUUAGUGUUAAACUUCAACAGAUGGUCAGUUGUAGCUAGAUUCACACCACUGAAGCAAAAUUCCAUCUGCCACGGUUACAUCACACCAUCUUUUCAUCGUUACUAUUUAAAUUCCAAAAGCCUGCAACUCAUUUUUUUUGUUACGAUGUAUGCAUGAUUUUUAACUCAAGAGGAAGAGGGGAAACUAAAUCCAAGAAAAGAACACCAAGGAAGCAUCCAAAAUAGAGAAAGGAAAAAUCCAAAAUAGAGGCAGAAUCGAAGGGAAGAAACCCCAUAAAAAAUAGGAGAUCAAACGGUGAAAAAAAUCUAAGAGUCAAACAAUUCCAGGUAAGACCAAAUCGACGGCAAAAUAGCACAAGAGGGACUCACAUUAACAGGUAUACCAAUUCAGAAAGAAGUGUAAAGCAAACAGUGCAAUGGACCACUAGUAUAAAUUGGAUGUACACAAACAUGGGACUUAAACAGGAACUGCGAGAUGCAGGGUUCACGUGCAAACCCAAAAAACGGAAAACUGAAACCCACAACAAGAUUUUAUCUUCAUAUAUAUAUAUAUAUAUAUAUAUAUAUAUAUAUAUAUAUAUAUAUAUAUAUAUAUAUAUAUAUAUAUAUAUAUAUAUAUAUAUNNNNNNNNNNNNNNNNNNNNNNNNNNNNNNNNNNNNNNNNNNNNNNNNNNNNNNNNNNNNNNNNNNNNNNNNNNNNNNNNNNNNNNNNNNNNNNNNNNNNNNNNNNNNNNNNNNNNNNNNNNNNNNNNNNNNNNNNNNNNNNNNNNNNNNNNNNNNNNNNNNNNNNNNNNNNNNNNNNNNNNNNNNNNNNNNNNNNNCCUAUCUAUUAGUUGCUUCUUCCGAAUCCCCACCUAUCAAGCGUUUUCUUUGAAUAAACAAACACAAUAGUAUUCUCUGAAUUAUACUGUACAGUGAUAAUUAACCAAGCGACUGGAAUUAACAAUAUUAUGAGCUAUUGGCUUUUUAGUCAGGUAAAUAUCAUUCUUAAGACUACGGAAAACAGCAGGCGGCGAAGAAAACAUCUAUUGAUGAGAACUAUACACAUACUUAAGAAGGAAGUGACAUCUAUGGUAGCAGAACAUAUAUCAAGCUGUUGCAGCUACAUUAGCAGUUUAGCACAGUCCCUCCAUAAUACACAGGCUAGUGUAAUUUCACAAAUACAAUAAGCUAACAAUAUAUAUUUGGUAGAUGGAAAUGGCUGGAUCAUGACCAAUAUACGAUUACACAUCCGAUGAUGCAAAUAAAGAAACGAGGCCCAACAAUAGUGGAAAAUAAACCACAAUAGAACAUGUAUUUGGCGAAACCUCCAUACUGCAAUAUCAAACAUGAAUUGAAAUUAACAAUCUAGCAAAAAAACAUGACAGAUGCAGUCUUGGUCAUUUUUUCUUUUGUGACAUCCCCUAAAAAAAGUAAAAAGAAUGUUGUUCGUAUUUUACCAGAGAUACACUGAGCUGGGACAAAUCGGUCUGAAAUAAAAUAUGAUGGCUUCGGAGGAUUCGGAAGGCAAGAAAUUUGCUUUCUUCCAACAUAUAUGGUCUGCUGAACUAAACUUUGUUUCAGCGAGCUUUGGCAAAAAUCUGUAACUGCAAACAUCAAACUUGUGUGCCCUUCCUACAUCAAACUUUAAACCUGACGGAUUAAAUAUUUUAGGUUAGGCUGAGAUCAGUGUACUUUAUGAGUGUUAAGUGUACUUUCUAAAUAGCAGAGAAACCAUAACAUCUAAGCACAACCCAGCAACUUGUACAAGCUAACAUCAAAUCUGAAAGAGGAAAUGUCGAGAACAGGUGAAGGUACCAUGAUCCAUGACUGAGCAAAGUUAUCUAUAAUCCUCGGUGAAUAUCAUAAAUUAGGAUCAACAAAGCUGAAGAACAAACGGGAAAGGAACCUAGAAAGAUCUUCUGCCGGUAGAAUAUAACUGAUACACUAUCCUCAUUCUCGAGAUCAAGGUCGUUUCUUGAAUUGCAGUUUCCUCACUGUAGUAUGGGGUCAUUACACUGCGAAGAACAAAGUGUCAUAUGAAUCAUUUAGAGCCCAAUCUUUUUCACUGAAACUCUUAUGAUCACAUAACGAAUUUAAACAUAAGGUUUAUUAGAUAUUUGUUGUUGUGAACUGAUAAUAUAUUUCUGGUGUUGACAAUGUUUUGAUUAUGGAUGCACUUCAAGAUGGGUGGCACAGAUUCUGUUGUACAGGCCUCCACCUGGAAUUUCAUCACUUGUUAUUUUUGUUUAGAAUGUCUAGGUGCAUUUUUCCUUUAAGGUGGAAACAGAUGUACUUGUAUAAGCAACAAGAAUACAAAGCGCCACUGCCAUACAUUGUGGAAGUUCAAUGCUUCUGUUUACAAAAUCUGCUUCCCAAAACAGAAGGAUUUAUAAUUUUUUAUUACAAUCAAGCGGACAUGAGCUGAUGAGUACAGAUGUAAACAUGUACUGAGAGCAGCACCCUUUCAAAAGUGGAUCAUUUACAAGUUGGAUAGUUUGAUGGUCUGAAAUUAGUGGUCGUGUUUCAGAAUUGUUAUCGAAUAGUAGAGGAUAUAUAUUAACUUCUGAAAUUAGUGGCUGUUUGUCAGAACUGUUAUCGAAUAACAGAGCACAUAUAUUAACUUCAAUAAGUGGAGUAAUAUCUUUGGAUUCGCUGUGAGGAAAGAUUACCAAAACAAAACAGAAGUGAGUGCGACGACCCAGAUGAGGGCGCUCUUGAGCCUCUUCCCGACCGACCUAGAUGCAGGAGCAGAACACCGCGGAUCUAAUCAGCCAACGAAUAAAGCCGAGGCAGGUAGAGGAAGUAAGGGAGGAAGAAGACUGACUUGUCCUGGUCGCCCUCGUAGUAGAAUAUGGUGAACGGGAUGACGAGGAAGACGAGGACAGCGUCGAGGAUGUAGACGACGAGCCAGAGCGUCUUCAUGGGCAGGAUAAGGGCGCAGGCCCCGUUGUAGGCGGCGUGCUUGCAGGUCUGGCGGUUGGCGACGUCAGCGGGGAGCAUGAGGAUGGAGAGGACGGCGACGGUGAUGCCGAGCACGACGACGAGCUUGGGGAAGUAGGCCUGGUUGGCAUCAUCCGGGUGCUGGUAGUUGACGAGCAUGUAGACGCUGACGAGGAGCACCAGGAUGCUGACCACCGCCGCCACGAUCACUAGCGCCACGUUAAAAACCCCAUCUCCUCGGGGCUCCGGUCCCGGUUCCGGCCCGCCGCCUCGCCCCCGUUGGUCGGUCAGAUCUCUCUGUCCCUAGAGGCGGGGGGAUACAGGCUAGGGUUUGGGCGUGGGCGGGGAAUAGGCUGCUAUGGUGUCGGCAGCGGGGCGGCCACCGGCGGGGAGGGCGGGAUCCGCGCGGGGUGGCGGGAUUUGGGCAGGCGGUGGGCUCGGGGGAGGGCGGUGGCAGCGAAGCAGCAGGGAGGGGCUGGAGGAGAUGAAACGAAAGAGGUCGCGUGACACAGCGACAGCGUCGUCCAAUCCCCUCGCUGCCGAUUUAAAAAAAGGUAAUGAUAACUCCCGAACGUUCAGGAGUUAAGCAUGGCAACCCGAACGGGUUUAGAUGGCAAGUUUAGUUUGCGUGAGAUUAGAGAAACAUGGCAAUUUUCUGACAAAAGAAAUGAAAAAGGACGAAGUUGCCAUCCCCUAUCAACUAAAGUUGCCAUCCCUAUGAACUAAAGUUGCCAUGUAAAAACGUUCGGGAUGAAAUGCUCAAAAUCCGAACGUUCGGAAGUUAUUGGAUUCAAAAAAAAUCCCCUUGCUGCCAAUCGCUGGCCCGUUUCUUUUUUCGCCCAAUCGCUAGGUGAUGACGUGGCUAUCACGGGAAGGCGCCCUUGAUGCGUAGUCGAAUGGUUUUAAUUAAUAGGAAGCGAGUGCUUACUCUAGUUACUGAAUUAUGUACACCAAAUAAAGCCAUUUACACGUAGUUAAUGACAAAAAAAGUUGAUGUUUGCUACGCAAACGUGUAGUACAAAUUAAGAAGUGCAAGAUAAAAAAAAAUGCUGGUCCUUGAUUCGUUGUUGAUCGUCAGCAUGCCAUCAUCAAUUUGUAGUUAAUUAUCAUACAAAUUGGCUCUUUCAUAGAGUUGGAGGCUAGCUCCUUUGAUCAGCACGCGCUUAAACAUAAACAGCACGUAUAUGUUUUGUCUCCGGAGUUCAAUUCUUCAUCGGCCAGCAAAAAUGGCCCGACCGGGUAGAGGAAAAGGCAUGUUUGUUAGUACGCCUGGAGGAAAUGCCUUUGAUUAGGGCAUCUUCAACAGCGACCAGUAAAUUUCCUCCCGCGUUCGUCCACGGAUAGGGGAUCAGUCCGCGGAUACGGAUACAGGAAUCAUCUAUCUAACGCUGUCCGCGUAUAUUUCAAACACAUUUUUUUUAAAAAAAUAGGAUGAAAUUCAUGCAAACACAAUGGAUUUCAUACAAACCGGACAAAAAUGUUUACAUUUUGGACAUAUUUUUUUUACUAAAAACUCUACAGCCGGCGCCGGCGAAUAUCCACUCCGGCGACAUGGAACCCUUGACUAGUCUACUGCCGGCCGCAGCGGAUCUCCAAUGUCGUCCCCAUGUCCGGCAACUAUGAGCCCUAGAGGUAUAUGCUUCAGCGCAAAGAGCGGCUCGCCUCCCUACCGCUCAUCGGAGUGGAACAACCAGCUGAUGCUUCUGCCGAUGGAAAGGGUCCCUACGCUACACGGAUUAGAGUUGGUUUUGGGCUGGGAACGGCGGUGGCCUGCCAGAGGGCAAGACACCGACUGUGUAUGCUGGUGUCACCUGGUGUGGCAUUCGUGGGACCCAAGCGGCAGCGCCUCCUCGAUGAUGGCGGCGAGCGCGGACGUGUUGGACACCACCUCGUCGAUGUCCGUGCAGCCCGCUUCUUUCUCUGUAGGAAGGACGCGGUUACGCUCGCGUUGACAUCGGAUGACUCGGUCACAUGCACGGGAGGGGCGGUACGACAUGGCACCGCCAAUGGCAGCCAUGAUGCCCGCGCCAGCGUGCUCUCUCCCAGUGCCGACCUAGAGCAACUUGCCACUCCUCUGCUCGUGAACGGUGGGCUUGACGGGCCACCUAGCCAUUUUUUAUGCCAGACAACUCUUCUUCCUGCUCGUCAGAUGUCAUGGAUAAAACUGUUUAAGGAGGAAAAUGAUGAGUAGACGUGUGAUGCGGUUCUUGCCCAACAUCUGACAUUGUUUAAAUAGCGAGGGGACACGAGAGGAGCCAACUGGCGUUCUGUUUAAUGCCAACCGGCUCGCGAACGAACAUGUGGCUGGAGUAAUUAUCCUGGCACACACGCGGGUUUAAUGGUGGAAGGUGGGCAGUCUGCAGGAAUGAGGCGAGGAUGUGUGCUUAGCCGGCGUGCAGCAGGCGGCGCCCUCGGCCGGCGUGCUGCAUCCAUUGCGGAGGCAGUGAGAGGUCGCGUCCGCUCUGCAGCGCAUGAAUGCGGGCAGCUGGCGCAGAGCGGGAACGCGUGCGGGCGAGGGAGGAGGGGGUUUGGGCGGGUGGUCAGAAGAGGUCGUGGGUGUUGUCCGAACGCCUGCAAAGCCCCCCUCCAUGUUUGUCUCCAGUUUGCGGGAGAAAGUAUGUCCGAACCGUCUCCAAUGGACCAAUACAGGCCCGCAUUGGAUGGCACAACACGUCCGGACCAUGUGGUCCGGAUGGUUGUGGACAGUUUAAUUGAGGGUCGGCGUUGGAGAUACCUUAGAGUUUAUGAAUCCAUUGUGUUUUUCUAAUCAUAAAAAAGCACUUACAAUAAGUUAUAAGGAAAGACACGUUUAUAUGUUAGGUUCAGACUCCAGCUUUCGUUUUACAUAUGCUUUAUUCAUCCGACUGAUUCCAAUAGAGUGAGCCUAGCGUUGUUUUUCUGGAAACUCGCGGGAUAAGGAGACAUGCAUACACAUUCUUUCAAGCAAAUCACAUCCAUCCUUUUUAACUCAUUUUUCUUCUUUUAAUAAUAUAAUAGAUCAUUUAUAUUUUUAUCUGAAACAGUUGACGUGUAAUUUAUAUUGUAAUCUGAGGAUAAUGUUUGGAUUUUACUUUCAAAUAUAUUUGAAAUGGCCAUGAUGGAAUCACAUCCAUUUAUUUUAUUAUUAUUUGAAUUUGAUCCAAAAGAUAAAUAAUGAGUAGAGGUCAUGUCAACUUUUCUGAGAACUUUGCUAAUCAAAAUAUAAUUGUAUUUAAAAACAUCUAUUUUUUAGCACGCAUGAAAAAGAUAACACGUAUCUUUUCACACAUAAUGAACGGUUGUCAUAAGAACUCAUGCCAUGCCACAACCUCCCUCCGACCCUGCCAACAUUGUUGCAGCUGCACUCGCAAGCCUUAGCGUAGAUGAUAAUUUAUACAAUUUGCGUAAAACAAAAUAAGAUCUACAAAUGAAUAGAAGCUAGAACGUACAUUGGCAUGCACACACAUUGCAAGCCAUACUAAGCUGAUAAGUGUUAAUAACUUGUACAACAUAUACAACACUUAAGACAAGUAAAAGCAAUUUGAUGAGUCAUGGUCUAUCAAAGCCACAUUACUAGUCUAAUCCAUCUUAACAGGUCACACAUGAUUAAAAUCUUGUUUGUGUGCAAGUCAAGCUUAUCUAGUUUACAUGUAACAACUUGUAGAACAUUACAAAAUUUAUGUUUGCUAAUAACUUCUAGAACACUACAACACUUGACAUGUAAAAGGAAUUUGAUGAGUUAGCGUACUAAAGCAAGUUAUAUUACUAGUCUUAUCUACCUUAACAGGCCACACAAGAUUACAAACCAAGUUCUGUGCCAGCCAUGCUUAUCUAGAUUAUGCGUAACAAUUUGCAGAAAAUUACAAACUUAGUUUCAGAAAAAUAGGCAAUCUAGAUUAGUGUUUGAGCUGUAAAGUGAGUAAAAUGAGUCAUGCGUGUUAUCACACCUUUUUGGUUGUGGAAUGAUAGUGCAACAACAAGGAACUUUAAUGACCAGUUCAAGAAUACACUUGUAAGUAGUGCCACCGAACACAACAUACCAAAUUAUGAUUUUGAGAAGCAUCCAAGCACUUCCACACAAGCAAAUGCCAAUUGUGAAAGAGAUCAUGCCAUGGCAGCUAUAAAUAGGCCCGUAGCAUGACGAUCAUCCUUCCUCAUCCAUCAUUCUCAUAAGUAGAGCGCAUCAUUUAAGCCAAGCAAGCAGUGCUCAAUACAAAUCCACCAUGAAGACCUUUCUCAUCCUUGCCCUCCUUGCUAUUGUAGCAACCACCGCCACAAUUGCAGUUAGAGUUCCAGUGCCACAAUUGCAGCCACAAAAUCCAUCUCAGCAACAACCACAAGAGCAAGUUCCAUUGGUACAACAACAACAAUUUCCAGGGCAGCAACAACCAUUUCCACCACAACAGCCAUAUCCGCAGCCGCAACCAUUUCCAUCACAACAACCAUAUCUGCAGCUGCAACCAUUUCCGCAGCCGCAACUACCAUAUCCGCAGCCGCAACUACCAUAUCCGCAGCCGCAACCAUUUCGACCACAACAACCAUAUCCACAACCGCAACCACAGUAUUCGCAACCACAACAACCAAUUUCGCAGCAGCAGCAGCAGCAGCAACAACAACAACAACAAAAACAACAACAACAACAACAACAACAGAUCCUUCAACAAAUUUUGCAACAACAACUGAUUCCAUGCAGGGAUGUUGUAUUGCAACAACACAGCAUAGCGUAUGGAAGCUCACAAGUUUUGCAACAAAGUACUUACCAGCUGGUGCAACAAUUGUGUUGUCAGCAGCUGUGGCAGAUCCCCGAGCAGUCGCGGUGCCAAGCCAUCCACAAUGUUGUUCAUGCUAUUAUUCUGCAUCAACAGCAACAACAACAACAACAACAACAACAACCGUUGAGCCAGGUCUCCUUCCAACAGCCUCAACAACAAUAACCAUCAGGCCAGGGCUCCUUCCAGCCAUCUCAGCAAAACCCACAGGCCCAGGGCUCUGUCCAGCCUCAACAACUGCCCCAGUUUGAGGAAAUAAGGAACCUAGCGCUAGAGACGCUACCUGCAAUGUGCAAUGUCUAUAUCCCUCCAUAUUGCACCAUUGCUCCAGUUGGCAUCUUCGGUACUAACUGAGAAGAGAAGAACUCUAGUAGUAGAUAUAUGAUACACCGUUUUCUUAGUCCAUGGUUUGGUCGUUGUAGCGGUGAAAAAAUAAAGUGACAUGCACUAUCAUGUAAGAACCCGAACUAUACUAGUUCAAACAUGGGAAUAAAAGACAAACACAUGUCUUGUCUACAUAUGAUUGUUUGUUUGAGUUCCACUCAUGUGCCCACUCACAAGUUCACCCCUAAUUAUAUAUAUUAUGCAUUAAGUAGAUAUUUAUGUUGCAUUAAUCUAAAGAUAACAAAAUGAGUCUGAAAUUUGAAUUAAAUUGAAG
rnacentral:lncRNA from 1 species